CCUACGGGAGGCAGCAGUGAGGAAUAUUGGUCAAUGGCCGUAAGGCUGAACCAGCCAAGUCGCGUGAAGGAAGAAGGAUCUAUGGUUUGUAAACUUCUUUUAUAGGGGAAUAAAGGUAUCCACGUGUGGAUCUUUGCAUGUACCCUAUGAAUAAGCAUCGGCUAACUCCGUGCCAGCAGCCUCGGUAAUACGGAGGAUGCGAGCGUUAUCCGGAUUUAUUGGGUUUAAAGGGUGCGUAGGUUGUUUUUUAAGUCAGCGGUGAAAGUUUGUGGCUCAACCAUAAAAUUGCCGUUGAAACUGGAAGACUUGAGUGUGUUUGAGGUAGGCGGAAUGCGUGGUGUAGCGGUGAAAUGCAUAGAUAUCACGCAGAACUCCGAUUGCGAAGGCAGCUUACUAAGCCAUAACGGACACUGAAGCACGAAAGCGUGGGGAUCAAACAGGAUUAGAUACCCCUGUAGUC
rnacentral:rRNA from 1 species